GCCCUUUCUUGGGUUUUAAUAACUGAGCUCUUUCUUCCCUGCCCACUCCACCUCCCUGCUCCUGGCUGCCUUUUUUGUUUUACAGAGACAGGUUUCACUCUGUGGUUCAGGCUGAAGAGAAGUUGCACAAUCACAGAUCGCUGUAAUUUUGAAUUUCUGGGUUCAAGUGAACUUCCCACCUCAGCCUCCCAAAUAGCUGGGAAUAAAGCCAGGUGUCAUUGCACCUGGCUAAUUUUUAAAUUAUUUCAGAAAUGAGGUCUCUCUAUAUUGCCCAGGAUGGUUUCAAACUCUUGGCCUCAAGCGAUCCUCCCACUUCAGCCUCCUGAGUUGCUGGGAUUGCAGGCGUGAGCCACUGUGGACAGUUUUCUCUUUUUCCUUUUAAGAGCUCAGACUAUCUGUUCAGAAAUUCUCACUUUUGAAGCCAAGGUUUGCCAACAAUUGGUGCCAAAAAAAAAAAAAAGAGAGACAGAGAGAGAGAAAAUAGGUCACAGUUUAGGCCUCCACAAUCUCACUUUACAUGAACAAAAAGGAAAAUAGUGCCUGAAUCCAGGAAUGGAGAAGGAUUAAACAAAUUUUUAAUGUGAAGAUAAUUAGCAAGGAAGAAAAAGGGCAACUUGUUCUCUUUACUAUUGACAUUUAGACAAGACCGAGCUUGGCAACGAGAAAGGAAGAAUUUCACAGAGGCCGAGCUCCGAAGCAGCAUGGUUUUCUCCCCUGCUACUUUCCUCUCUUCCCUUUCUUCCGACACUCGUCCCCUUGAGUUUCCUGGGAGAAUGGCCAUUCUCAGAUUGGAUUCAAGUCUGAACAAAGCUGACAAAUGCUUAUCUUUCUCACCACAACCACUGCAAUUACCCUGCGGGUGGAGAGACCUGGCCAGACAUUUAGCUGAGGAUCUAGUGCAUGUUAUCAAACAAGCACUCCGGCCUUGCAAACAGCCCAUUCUGCAGGGGAGGAACCUGAGGCUCAGAGACGGGAAGUGACUUGCCCCAGGUGGCACAGCUUGAGAUCAUGGUGCCAGGAUCCAAGCCCGAGUCCAUCUGGUGCCAUGGCUCUGCUAGGAAGCCCCAGGUCUCUUUGAAGGGCAGUUAAAAUCAAACUGCACAGAAAUAAGAGCUCGGACAUAAUCACAUUUCCACGGUGUUCGCAGAAACCUUCAGUUUGGAGACAACACCUGCCAGAGAAUGAAAAGGCCAACUAGGUGAGAGCAUGGGCGCAGGGGUGUGUGGAGAACCGUGGGGGAGAGGAGUUAUGGGAAAAGCAGGUAGAGUGAGCUGUAGCCCUGCCCAGCAUGGGUCUGGCCUCUGCCCAGGACACCAGGAGCCUCUUCCUUCCACACCAUGCUCAGCAGGACCACCGACCCCAAACCAAGCCCCAACCAAAAUACGUUGCUCCUUCAUAGGUCAGGGAACUGGCACCACUGCCUUCACCUCUGCAGCCUCAGCAGGCUGGCCACUCUAACCCUGCACCCCGAGGAGCUGGGCAGGGUGUCUCCGGGCUGAGAGGGGCUGUGGACCCCUGGACUGCAG
rnacentral:lncRNA from 1 species